UGUGAGCAUUGCAAUGUUCGAUUCCUUUUCACAUCUUUGGCUGAAGGCUGCAAAUUAUUAUGUCUCUCAAGUCGCCUUCUUUAUUCAGCAUCUUUGAACAUCACUUAUUUGGAAAGCUUUUAAGGCCUAUUAAUGAUGGGCCUGAUUAGCUGCGGUGAAGGCUGAUAGUCAAAGCAGAGCAAAAAGGAAAAGAAAUUGUCAGGAUUCUAACUUUACCACUUUCCAAAGCCACAGCACUGAAAUUUUGGGAAGCGGAUGAAAGGAAGCCAGCACAGAUCAUUUGACCGAGCAUGACCUCCACCAUAGGAACAAGUGAAAUGAAGGAAAUGGCAGAUGAGAGGGAACAUGGGGCGGAACACAGUGGCUGGAAACCCAUCCUGAUGCAGCCCGAGGUGAUAAUAAUGAGAAGAGAUGGACAGAAUUAGAAGAGUGACAUUGGGGAAAGCUUGGGAUGAAGAGCUGAGGUUGACCCCAGACAGAUUGGCUAUUUUUGAGGAUGUCCACCUGUCCCUGAAAACCUGUUUCCAGCUGCAAACUUCUCUGGGCCUUGUAAAGCCAAAAAGCACUAUAAAGAUGUAAAAAACUAAAAAAAAAAAAAAAAUGUUCCUGUGAGAAACUUGGCUGAAGAGAAAGGAGGGCAUUAAAAGAACUGAAGCAUCUCUCUGAGAAUGAACCAGCCAAAGUUCAAGAAGUAUUGCAUGAGUUGUUUGGUGACAUGGAGAUUUCUCCUCAGUGGUCACUUUUCCUCCAGUAUGUUGGACUCAGCUCCUUUCACAUUAGGGAGGGUCAAGGAGAAUGCUCCAUAAUGCUGACACCAAACCACAGAGUGAGGUCAUCUGGGGUUUUGCAGUGGGAGCCUUUGGAUGGAGAAAGAAAGAAAGAAAGAAAGAAAGAAAGAAAGAAAGAAAGAAAGAAAGAAAGAAAGAAAGAAAUUUCAGGUGUUCUGAAAGGUUGGGGGAGUGUAUAAUGCUGAAUCCUCUCCCUGCCCCGAGAUGAAAACAUUUGAUGCUACCUGCCCUAGGCUUGUAGGCAGCACACUCUUGAGGGAGUGUGCUGUUGAAUCUGUCAAGAGAAACAGUUAGAGCAGCAACAGUCACAUCUGUACUGGUUUUCCUGCUGGUUUAUUAUUAUUAUUAUCAUCUAUUUAUCUAUUUAUCUAUCUAUCUAUCUAUUAUUAAAACUUUUAUACCGCCCUUCCAAAAGGCUCAGGGCAGUUUACAUUAAAACACCAUUAAAAUCAGUUAAUAAUUAAAACAAAAAUUA